AGAGUUUGAUCCUGGCUCAGAACGAACGCUGGCGGCAUGCCUAACACAUGCAAGUCGAACGUGAAGCCGCCCUUCGGGGCGGUGGAAAGUGGCGCACGGGUGAGUAACGCGUGGGAACCUGCCCCUUGGUAUGGGAUAACCGUGGGAAACUGCGGCUAAUACCGUAUACGCCCUGAGGGGGAAAGAUUUAUCGCCGAGGGAGGGGCCCGCGUCGGAUUAGGUAGUUGGUGGGGUAACGGCCUACCAAGCCGACGAUCCGUAGCUGGUCUUAGAGGACGGUCAGCCACACUGGGACUGAGACACGGCCCAGACUCCUACGGGAGGCAGCAGUGGGGAAUAUUGGACAAUGGGGGAAACCCUGAUCCAGCAAUGCCGCGUGGGUGACGAAAGCCUUAGGGUUGUAAAGCCCUUUCGGCGGGGAAGAUGAUGACGGUACCCGCAGAAGAAGCCCCGGCUAACUCCGUGCCAGCAGCCGCGGUAAUACGGAGGGGGCUAGCGUUGUUCGGAAUUACUGGGCGUAAAGGGCGUGUAGGCGGCCCGUCAAGUCAGGCGUGAAAGCCCUGGGCUUAACCUAGGAGGUGCGCUUGAAACUGAUGGGCUUGACGCCCGGAGAGGAAAGUGGAAUUCCCCAUGUACAAGUGAAAUUCUU
rnacentral:rRNA from 1 species